rnacentral:tRNA from 1 species
GGAGGGAUACCGAAGUGGUCGUAACGGGGCCGACUCGAAAUCGGUUGAUCGCCUGAUAAGCGGUCCGGGGGUUCGAAUCCCUCUCCCUCCGCCA